rnacentral:ncRNA from 2 species
CUCUUAUCAAGAGAGGUGGAGGGACUGUGCCCGAUGAAGCCCGGCAACCGUCAGAUAAUCUGAAAAGGUGCCAAUUCCUGCAAAGUUGUGUAAUACGACUUUGAGAGAUGAGAG